rnacentral:piRNA from 1 species
UUAAUUAAUCUUUUGUUGACUUUUUGC